rnacentral:rRNA from 2 species
GAUGAACGCUGGCUGUGUGCCUAAUACAUGCAUGUCGAGCGAAGGUAGCAAUACCUUAGCGGCGAAUGGGUGAGUAACACGUACUCAACGUACCUUUUAGAUUGGGAUAGCUAACGGAAACGUUGGAUAAUACCAAAUACUUAUUAGUUUCGCAUGAAACUAAUAUAAAAGGAGCCUUUAAAGCUCCGCUGAAAGAUCGGGGUGCGCAACAUUAGCUAGUUGGUGAGGUAACGGCCCACCAAGGCGAUGAUGUUUAGCGGGGUUGAGAGACUGAACCGCCACACUGGGACUGAGAUACGGCCCAGACUCCUACGGGAGGCAGCAGUAGGGAAUAUUCCACAAUGAGCGAAAGCUUGAUGGAGCGACACAGCGUGCAGGAUGAAGGUCCUAUGGAUUGUAAACUGCUGUGGUAAGGGAAGAAAAAGUAACUUAGGAAAUGAAGUUACCUUGACGGUACCUUAUUAGAAAGCAACGGCUAACUAUGUGCCAGCAGCCGCGGUAAUACAUAGGUUGCAAGCGUUAUCCGAAAUUAUUGGGCGUAAAGCGUCUGUAGGUUGUUUGUUAAGUCUGGCGUCAAAUUUUGGGGCUCAACCCCAAACCGCGUUGGAUACUGGCAGACUAGAGUUAUGUAGAGGUUAGCGGAAUUCCUUGUGAAGCGGUGAAAUGCGUAGAUAUAAGGAAGAACACCAUUAUGGCGAAGGCGGCUAACUGGGCAUACACUGACACUGAGAGACGAAAGCGUGGGGAGCAAACAGGAUUAGAUACCCUGGUAGUCCACGCCCUAAACGAUGAUCAUUAGCUGAUGGAGAAUUCGUCGGCGCAGCUAACGCAUUAAAUGAUCCGCCUGAGUAGUACGUUCGCAAGAAUAAAACUUAAAGGAAUUGACGGGGAUCCGCACAAGCGGUGGAGCAUGUGGUUUAAUUUGAAGAUACGCGUAGAACCUUACCCACUCUUGACAUCUUCUGCAAAGCUAUAGAGAUAUAGUGGAGGUUAACAGAAUGACAGAUGGUGCAUGGUUGUCGUCAGCUCGUGUCGUGAGAUGUUCGGUUAAGUCCUGCAACGAGCGCAACCCUUAUCCUUAGUUACUACCAUUAAGUUGAGGACUCUAAGGAGACUGCCGGAGUAAUCCGGAGGAAGGUGGGGACGACGUCAAAUCAUCAUGCCUCUUACGAGUGGGGCUACACACGUGCUACAAUGGACAGUACAAAGAGAAGCAAAAUGGUGACAUCAAGCAAACCUCAAAAAACUGUUCUCAGUUCGGAUUGAAGUCUGCAACUCGACUUCAUGAAGUUGGAAUCGCUAGUAAUCGUAGAUCAGCUACGCUACGGUGAAUACGUUCUCGGGUCUUGUACACACCGCCCGUCAAACCAUGGGAGCUGGUAAUGCCCGAAGUCGGUUUAUAAAGAAACUGCCUAAGGCAGGACUGGUGACUGGGGUUAAG